CGUUUCUAUCCAAAUAAACCGCAAGUAGUGAGCCAAGAACUAAAAAAAACUUGGUUCGCUGCUUGUGGUUUGUUUGGUCAGGAGUG